rnacentral:rRNA from 1 species
CAGCCGCCGCGGUAAUGCGAAGGGGGCUAGCGUUGUUCGGAUUUACUGGGCGUAAAGGGCGCGUAGGCGGGCGAAUAAGUCAGGGGUGAAAUCCCAAGGCUCAACCUUGGAGCUGCCUUUGAUACUGUUUGUCUUGAGUUCGAGAGAGGUAAGUGGAACUGCGAGUGUAGAGGUGAAAUUCGUAGAUAUUCGCAAGAACACCAGUGGCGAAGGCGGCUUACUGGCUCGAAACUGACGCUGAGGCGCGAAAGCGUGGGGAGCAAACAGGAUUAGAUACCCCUGUAGUCCCUGUCUCUUAUAU